UGUCCAAUGUAGCAUCGA
rnacentral:snRNA from 1 species